UACGUAGGGGGCUAGCGUUGUCCGGAUUUAUUGGGCGUAAGGAGCGUUGUAGGCGGCCAGGUAGGUCUGGUGUGAAAACUCGAGGCUUAACCUCGAGAUGUCAUCGGAAACCAUUUGGCUAGAGUCCGGAAGAGGAGAGUGGAAUUCCUGGUGUAGCGGUGAAAUGCGCAGAUAUCAGGAGGAACACCGGUGGCGAAGGCGGAUCUCUGGGCCAUUACUGACGCUGAGGCACGAAAAGCGUGGG
rnacentral:rRNA from 1 species